rnacentral:rRNA from 1 species
CUGGGUGGAUUAGUGGCGAACGGGUGAGUAACACGUGAGUAACCUGCCCUUGACUCUGGGAUAAGCGUUGGAAACGACGUCUAAUACCGGAUACGAGCUUCCACCGCAUGGUGAGUUGCUGGAAAGAAUUUUGGUCAAGGAUGGACUCGCGGCCUAUCAGCUUGUUGGUGAGGUAACGGCUCACCAAGGCGACGACGGGUAGCCGGCCUGAGAGGGUGACCGGCCACACUGGGACUGAGACACGGCCCAGACUCCUACGGGAGGCAGCAGUGGGGAAUAUUGCACAAUGGGCGAAAGCCUGAUGCAGCAACGCCGCGUGAGGGACGACGGCCUUCGGGUUGUAAACCUCUUUUAGCAGGGAAGAAGCGAAAGUGACGGUACCUGCAGAAAAAGCACCGGCUAACUACGUGCCAGCAG